UCGCAAAGUAUGCUCUCUUUCUCCUUGUUUUUACUGAGUGUCUGUGUGUAGCAAUGUUGUGUGUUACUUGUUUGAUGUGCGACUCCCUAUUUAUAGCUGAGUAUGAGUCAGUGCAAAAACAUUUUGAGUUACUGACUGAAACUGCCCCUUUUGAAAUCCCAUGACUUUUGCUUUCUGAUUUCAAUACUUUAACUGCCCAUGAAUGCUGAUUAGGACUAUGUGAUAACUGUAAGGGGCAUAACCUCUGGUUUACCAUUGCUUCUUUUACGUGUAACCUUUGGAUAGUUGCUAUUGAUAUUUUUGCACUUAUGCUGAAUAUGUAACUGAAGGGAAAGAUGCCAAUAACAAUGAUUCAUGUUUGCAUCUCUUUAUUGCCAUAUUUUACAAUUCUUCUGAUUAGGAUUCUCGGCUAAAUCAUUUUCUCUCCUUUUUUACAUUUAAUAAUGGUUCGAAAUGUAACAGUCUGCAGUGGUAGAAUAUAUGUUUUAUCUGACAUUUGGUUUCCUUUGAUAUCAGGUUCUCAACGUGGCUAAUAAAGAGUCAUGCUCUUGGAAACUUGAAGUGUUGUUGAAGCUACACCACGUUCUGCUGAUGAAUUGAGGAAUUUACCCAAAGCAUGAUCAGGACCUGGCUCCCAUUCUGGACACCUUACAGUGCUACGUCCAGCUACCUUUCCAUUUGCAACAUUUGUGACACUGUCAUCCCAAGAACAUUGUAGAAUAUAGAUUUUGUAUUGCUUCUAAGAGUUCAGGCAUUGUUUUCUUUGUAUCCUCCUUAGCAACUUCAAUGGCCUCCAUAGGAUAUUUGUAAAGGGUUGGUGAAUGAGAGAUGAUACAUUCAUACACGUAAUGAAUUGGGAGUUUUAAGCAUUUUCAAAACAUAUGAUAAUUUUUUGCGACUUUCUUUCUUGAAUAUGCAAGUAGUAUAUUAUUUUCUUGCCACACUAAGACCAGGGAUUAGUGGGUAUAGAUUGCCAUUCAUAUAAAAAUGUGAGGACUCACGUUUUGACUCUAACAACCUUGUGAGCAGAAUUCAUUCCCUAAUCUAAUCCGAA
rnacentral:lncRNA from 1 species